rnacentral:sRNA from 1 species
GUAUUUUACCUCUCCUAUCAUUUCUGGAAAUGACUUGGCAGAGCAACUAGCAGGUGUCUCAGCAGAGCAAGAAGUUACAUGUAUCGAUGGAGGCAAGACCCUCCCCAAACAGCCAUCUCCCCAGAAGUCUGAGCCUCUGCUACCUUCUGCUUCUAUGGAUGAGGAAGAAGGGGACACUUGUACAAUAUGUCUGGAACAGUGGACCAAUGCUGGGGACCACCGGCUCUCAGCAUUACGUUGUGGGCAUCUCUUUGGGUAUAGGUGCAUUUCCACGUGGCUUAAAGGACAAGUACGAAAAUGUCCCCAGGUAAGGACACAUUAACAUGUUAAGUCAGGCAGAUUCCUAGAACCACUCUAAUUAUGUCCUAUUGGGUUCUUUAGUGCAACAAGAAAGCCAGGCACAGUGACAUUGUCGUCCUUUAUGCCCGAACCCUGAGAGCUUUGGACACUAGUGAACAGGAGCGCAUGAAAAGUUCCCUACUGAAGGAACAGAUGCUAAGGAAACAGGCCGAGUUAGAAUCAGCACAGUGCCGACUCCAACUGCAGGUCCUCACUGAUGAGUGCACUA